GCCCGCAUGGCGGAAUUGGUAGACGCAGCAGAUUUAGGUUCUGCCGCCGAAAGGUGUGGGGGUUCGAGUCCCUCUGCGGGCACCA
rnacentral:tRNA from 1 species